GCUGAGAUGGCUCAGCUGGUAGAGCAUGAGACUCUUAAUCUCAGAUUCGUGGGUUUGAGCCCCACAUUGGGCA